ACACAUGAGGCCCAUGUGGCUGCUGCCUGUGUGACUCCAUCAAUGGCCAGGGCUGAGCUGCCUGAUCCAAGAGGCUAGGCUGGUGACCCUUCCUCCACAGUGAUUUGUGGGCAGCCCUCUGGGGGCUGUAUGCUUGGUCAAAGAGGAUGUCAUUCCCAGAGAGGAAGAGCUGUCCUUUGGUCAAGGGUACACAGACACUGUCCUGAUGACCCAAAGAAACACAGCUUCUGGGCUUCUCU
rnacentral:snRNA from 1 species